AAAAAGGCAAAUCCUGAGUUUCCGUGUCCAACUUUGACUGUCCGUCUUAUAUAAAAAAUUUUCAUAAUUCGUAUUUUUAUUGUUGUUAGAUGAUAAAAUGAUAAAACAUAAUUAAUAUUUUAUGCGUGACUUGUUUUUUUAAUUUUUUUAAUAAUUUUUUCAAAUAAGACUGACGGUCAAACGUUGGGCACGGAAACCAGAGUUUGUCUUUUUU
rfam:Oryza nivara chromosome 12, whole genome shotgun sequence.